UGGCGCAAUGGAUAACGCGUCUGCCUACGGAGCAGAAGAUUCGGGGUUCGAAUCCC
rnacentral:tRNA from 14 species